GGUUCGAAACAGCCACAAACAUGGCCCUAUGAACCCUAACCCUAACCCUAACCCUAUCCCGAAUCUGGCCCAGGGUUCGAAACAGCCACAAACAUGACCCAGCAGCGGGCAGGGUUUCUCUGCCAGUGUUCCGUCCACUUAACGGCUUCUGUGUUCAGGAUUAAGUGUUCAGUCCACUUAACGGCUGCACCCUGACCAGCUCAGAAUUGUGAAUGGUUGCUGUCGAUACCUCUUGCAAUAAAAAGCAUUUUUGAAUGUUGGGUGUUAGAAUCGGAAUUGAAAUAGAUUUAUACUUUGCUUGAGUGCUCAGGGUUUACAUUAAGAAGCCGAAUGGAAUGUUUUCUAACCAAAUGAACCAGAAAAUCAGGGUAUUUUCAUUGCGGACACAUUGCAGUGAAAGCACGCAGGUUUCAUACUUGUAAUAACCUGUUUUUUUUUUGCAAUCAAAGAAUUUGUACAUUUCAACAUCAGACUUUUUGUACCAUGUGGAAUAUAGUCUUCUCUGAAAUUCAGGCUCUUUUGCAAUGCUGACUCAUGAGUUAUAUGCUUGUAUUUUCUACAAGGAGCUGAACAAAAUGCUUGUUUUAUUUCACUCGUUUUCAUGAAUAUUCAAGGUUUUUUUAUGGCACUUUUUUGGAAAUGAUUUGGGGGUGUACCCAUGACGAGCUCGAUUUUUUCUUUCAAUUAAGUGAAAUUCCAUUCUUCAGCCGAACUGACAAGUUUGAAAUUGACUGGAUUCGCAAAUCUGACUCUACUCAAGCGGUGGCUAGCUCACGCAGUCUCUGAAACAUCGUUUUCAUUUUUGGCUGGACCGCGACAGCGGGGCCAGCCCUAUAAACACGAAUGCCUGUGCCUGACUGACUGACUGAUGAAGGCACGCCAUUGGUCGGCCGGUUCGGUCCAGCCACACGCUAGGUUUUGACCUGGUCUUGUUUUUAACCAGGCUUCUCAUUGCUAGAUGCAGUGAUCUGCGUGACCGCCUCGUCCUCAGACGAAAAUUGAACUUUGUGUGCGUACAUCUUUAUGAAAAGACCUUUAAAUAUGUUACAGUGUAGAGCCGGUAUGUAUGAAUUUUAUUUAUUCUGAAUUCUGUUUUGCUGCAUCCUCAUGUUUCCGUAUCAGAUUUAGGAUGUUGUUUUUUGUUUUUAUAGAAGCAAUGAAAAGGGAAGUGAUGUCAUACAUUUAUAACUUUAUUAAGUGCCCUAAUAAGAUGGCAAAAGCAUAUUAUUUCUCAAAUUCUGUUCUGGCUUUGGUGGCAGACAGCAACAGAACUGUCUUUCACUUUUCUAUUUUUUAUUUUGUAAUUUAGCAAUCGUAUUUUGUUGGAACAGACAAACCACUUAGGGACACCUUUAGAUGGGAUGCAGAAUAUUAUGUAGUUUCACUAGCAAGUGCUUCCUGAGUUUACACAGUUUGUUUUACACAUCAGCAUCAAAGUUUAGUCAGUAAUUAGACCCGAUUUGAUGAUGAUGUAUUUUAUUCAUCCCAUAAUUUUUAUUUUAUUUUAUUUUACACUUUGUGGUCGUCUGCCUAUCCAAUUUGUUUUUCCUGCAUCCAAAACACUAGACACAGGAGACAGUUGUGCAUUGCCUGCCACAGUUGGCAGAACUGGCACAGUGUGGAUUUGAGGGGCCCUACAUGCACCGGAAGUGUGUAUUUGAGGGCCCCUCCAUGCACUGGCACAGUGUGUAUUUGAGGGCCCCUCCAUGCACUGGCACAGUGUGUAUUUGAGGGCCCCUCCAUGCACUGGCUCAGUGUGGAUUUGAGGGCCCCUCCAUGCACCGGAAUUGUGUAUUUGAGGUCCCCUCCGUGCACUGGCACAGUGUGGAUUUGAGGCCCCCUGUAUGGACUGGCAUAGUGUGAAUUUGAGGGCCCCUCUAUGCACCGGAAGUGUGGACUUGAGGGCCCCUCCAUGCACUGACACAGUGACUUAUCACGAUGAAGAACACUGCAGCCCAAAACUCUAACUUCAAAACUAUUGGGAAACAAAGCCCCUUGACUCAUUUUGUCUGCUCCAUUCAAACCACGCAAUGACCUUAUUUGGUUUCAUACAUUGUUUACUAAUGGUGGUAUGAUCUGUUUGUAGGGCAGGAUGCCGUUUCUCACGGUCACAGAAUCAAAUAAAGUAACUUGGGUCUGUGCAAGAUUUUUCUUUUCUUUUCUUUUUUUUUUUUUUAAAGCAUUGCUCCACAUUUGCUAAGUGAACAUUUGCCACAUCAGUUUUUUUUUUCUGGGUCAUUUUUCAAUGAUGUUAUUUCAUGAUUCAUGAGUCAGUUUGCCCCUCCAGAUGAUUUUUUACCAGCAAUAAGGGCAGAUGUGGUUUAGAUAGCAUUUGAAGCCUUAAACUACAUCAGUACUCUUUGUAUUUUCGUGUGACCUCCAAUCUCCUUCUGCGGGGGCCUGGUUUUGCAGGUGGUUAAUGUGACUUGCAGGUCAGAUGCAGUGUAUUUGUACGAUACUCUAUGCAAAGAGGAGCGUUGUAUAGCCUGACUGGUGUGGCUGUAUCGUAGUGAGGACGUUCUGUUUUUGGUUCUCUGUACGCUGACUAGGCUGUUUGCUGAAUAACCAGCCUUCCUGCUUGUGUAAAUCAUGAGACCUGAGAACCUAUUUUCUUUUUUUAAUUAUUGUUAUUAUUUUUAGUGCAUGUGGGAUAAAUUAUUUUAUGUGGUAAGCUUUUAAUUUCUUAUUUUGAUAUAUAUCACACUGGGGUUUUCAGGAUCUUGAUGAUAAAGAACCAUUUUGUCUUUUGUUUCCUUGGUUUCAAUAUUGUAAAUAUUGUAUUGUUCUGUGUAUUUUCUUCUACAAAGUAAAGAAAGCCAAAUGCUGUUUUUUUCA